rnacentral:sRNA from 1 species
UACCGUCGGAACCGGGAGCCUUGCGAGG